UAUGUAAUUUAAUUUGAAUUUAUUUUACAUAUAAAUUUUAGUAUGAAUUUAUAAUUAUUUUAAUAAUAUUUAUAUGAUAUUGUAGUAAUUAAAAUUAAAAAUUUAAGAAAUUAAGAUUUAGUUAUAUUUAAUAUUAUUAACAAAUUUUGUGCCAGCAGUUGCGGUUAUACAAAAAAUAAUUUAAAUUUUAUCAGUUUAUAAUAAAUAAAUAUUUUUAAUUUAAAAUAAAUGUUAAAUUAUUAGGUGAAAUUUUAAUUUAAAGAAAAUUUAUAAUAAUUUAUGAUUUAUUAAAUUUUAUAAAAAACUAGGAUUAGAUACCCUAUUAUUAAAAAUUAAAUUUAUAAUACUAAAAUAGUAAAUAAUAAUUUAUUGAAACUUAAAUAAUUUGGCGGUAUUUUAGUAAAUUUAGAGGAAUCUGUCUAAUAAUUGAUAAUCCACGAAUAAUUUUACUUAAUUUAUAAUUUUGUAUAUCGUUGUUAAAAAAAUAUUUUUUAAUAAAAAUAAUAUUUUAAAAUUUUUAAAUAAAUUUAAUUCAGAUCAAGAUGCAGAUUAUAAUUAAGAAUAUGAUGGAUUACAAUAAAUUUAUUUAUAUGAAUAAUAUUUUGAAAAAAAUAUUUGAAAGUGGAUUUAAAUGUGCUUUUAUUUAAUUUAAUAAAAUGAUUAAAUAUUAAAAUAUGUACAUAUUGCCCGUCGCUUUCAUAUAUAAGUUGGAAUAAGUCGUAACAAAGUAGAGGUACUGGAAAGUGUUUCUAGAAAGAU
rnacentral:ncRNA from 1 species